CUGAUACCAUUUGUUGGAUUUGAAUGGAGAAAAAACUAAUAACAUAUUUAUUCUAGAACAAGUAGAAGAGAAAAGGCAUAAAUUCAUUGCUGAAAACAAAGGAUUUACAAACGCAAUUUUAAAGUUUUUUUUUCUGUCUUUUCUUCCUCACUUUGCUAGAUCUCUCAAACUUUCUUUCCAGCUCUCUCAAGUUCUCUCUACACUCUCUCUUCUUCCAGCAGCAACCUCUUCCUUUUUUAGGGUAAAAUUUGCUUUCUUUUGUCAACUAAUGCCAUACUUACACAAUGCUUAGGUAUGAGUCUUUUCUUUUCUUGUACAUAUAGAUAUUCACCUACUAAAAUCUCAUAAACUCCAACAAAUUGGCACCUCACAAGCAAGAAAUUGAAGCCAUGAAUUUCUACCAUAUGAAGACUGAGGGAAUAGAGAUUAUUAUUUUGUUUGGAUGUGCAUGAGAUAUUAGGAAUAUGCAUAUACGAGGUUCAAGUACUCUCGUCCUUGGGCUACUUUGAUUACUUUGACUUGGCAUUUUUCAGUGCAUUACUUAAUGCACAAAAAUUUUAGUUUCUGCAAAAUAUCUCAUUAUAGGAUUUGAAGUUACAAAAUUAACCUAUUUAUUCUAACUGAAGCAUGAGAGCAUGGUGGUGGAGCCUGAAAGUGAUAAUCCUUCCUUGGAGAAAGUAGAUGUACAGCCUGAAAACACAAAUCCUGCCGUGGAGAGUGUUGAACUACAACAAGCAAACUCUUCUAAAACCCCUCUUAAAAAGAAAGCAAAGAAAUUCCCUGCUAAAGUUAGGCGUUCUGAACGUCUUCAAAAUGCAGUUAUGGAUACGGAAAACCAAGACAUUGAGUGUAUUCUUGAAGAGAUAACUGUCAGUGAAAGCGAGCAAGAAGUUGAGCCUUCAAAUGAGGAAUUGCCAGAGCCUACUUUGAAUGGGAAAAACUUGCAUGAAAAGGUUGACUAUCUUGUACAACUUUUGAAGACACAACAAAAGACCAUAGAUGCAUUUAAUUCUAGGGCAACUGGGAAAACAUUCUGUAGUGAAGAAGACUCUGGUAUGGGAGAUAUCAAUUAUAAAAGCUUGUAUAUUGACUGCCAAAAGAAGGUUGAAGCUCUGACAGAGGAAAAUCAUCAGCUAAAUAGAAAGUUGGAAUUUGCUCUUGGAAAAAUUGAAGUAUAUGAGAAGGGGUAUCAUGUAGCUCCUGAAGUGUUGGAGAAGUUGAAAGAUUUAUUUAAAGAUGCAUUAUGGUUAUCAAGUCUGACACGAGUAACUGAAGCAACACGCAAUUAUACUGCACCUGAAAUUGGCCAUGAUUGCAAGAAUUCUGCCAAGAGGAAGAGACAGACUGACAAGAACUAGGGUGUGAUAUGGAUUACUAUAACUUAUUAGCUUUUGUGCGAAUGUAGUUUGAUGGAUAAGUGUAGUGAUUCCAUUAUGAGUACCAGAUUGAUCAUGUAUUUUGUAACUGCCAGUUGGGCUUUGGUCAUGUGUCUUUUGGAAUUAAGGGAAUCCUCUAAUUUCUUGAAAUCAGAUGAAAUUGUUUUAUUCUAAGGUAAAAAAGACCCCAAGAGAAG
rnacentral:misc_RNA from 1 species